rnacentral:rRNA from 4 species
UCCGUAGGUGAACAUGCGGAAGGAUCAUUA